GCAAGGGCACAUGGUGGAUGUCUUGGCGUCAAGAGGCGAUGAAGGACGUAGGAACCUGCGAAAAGCCCAGGGGAGCUGGUAACCAAGCACCGAUCCUGGGAUCUCCGAAUGGGGCAACCCACCCGCAAGGGUAUCGUGCGCUGAAUGAAUAGGCGUACGAAGCGAACCUGCUGAACUGAAACAUCUCAGUAAGCAGAGGAAAAGAAAGCAACAGCGAUUCCGUAAGUAGCGGCGAGCGAAAGCGGAUAAACCGACCAGCGAGCGAAGCGUCAGGAAUGGCGCACCGAAGAAGGUGAAAGUCCUGUAGCCGCGAAUCGGGGAGCCCAUAGAGUAAACUCGGUCUCGUGAAACCCGGGUUGAAGAUGGGGGGUCCACCCUCCAAGGCUAAAUACUCCUUGACGACCGAUAGUGAACGAGUAAGGCGACUGAACGAUGAAAACUACGGCGAUGAGCCGGGUGAAAGAGUAGCUGAAACCAUGUGCUUACAAGCGGUCGGAGGACGCGAGUCUGACGGCGUGCUUUUUGCAUAAUGAGCCCGCGAGUUACGCUGUGCGGCGAGCCUAAGGCCUACCGGGCCGGAGGCGGAGCGAAAGCGAGUCCGAACAGGGCGCCUAGUCGCACGGUGUAGACACGAAACCUUGUGAUCUACCGUUGGCCAGAGUGAAGGGCGGGUAACACCGCCUGGAGGCUCGAACUCGUGAACGUUGAAAAGUUCUGGGAUGAGCUGACGGGAGGACUCAAAGUGUAAUCAAACUGGGAGAUAGCUUGUUCUCUCCGAAAUAACUUUAGGGUUAGCCUCAGGUAUCAAACGUCGGGGGUAGAGCUACUGGAAGAUUGUAGGGGCCUACCCGGCUACCUCGAUCUACCAAACUCCGAAUACCGAUGUUGUAGACCUGGGAGAUAGACGGCGAGUGACAAUAUCCGUCGUCAAAAGGAGAAAAAUCCUGAUCGCCAGCUAAGGCCCCUAAUCUCUGCUCAGUUCGAAAGGAAGUCAGGUUGCGGUGACACCCGGGAUGUUGGCUUAGAAGCAGCCACCAUUUAAAGAGUGCGUAACAGCUCACCGGACGAGGAACCUGGCGCCGAUAAUGAUCGGGAAUAAGCAGAGAGCCGAAGCUGCGGGCGCGCAAGCGCGGUAGGAGAGCGUUGCUCGGGCGGUGAAGCCGUGCGGAAACGCCAGGUGGAGCGCGAGCAAGUGAAUAUGCGGGCUUGAGUAACGAUUAACAGGGUGAGAAUCCCUGUCGCCGAAUACCCAAGGUUUCCUGGGGAAGGUAAAUCCGCCCAGGGUUAGCCGGGACCUAAGGCAAGGCCGAAAGGCGUAGUCGAUGGACAUGGGGUGUAAUAUUCCCCAGCACACGCGGAGAUCGAAUCACGGUGCGGAUCAUGAAGUUGGGCGAGGCAGCUGGUGCCUAGGAAACGUGCCCCGAUGGAUUGGUUCCCAGAAAAGCCGUGAGGGCAAUGCGUGUCCCGUACCAAAACUGACACAGGUGGGUGUGGCGAUUAGCCUAAGGCGCUCGAGAGAACGGUCGUGAAGGAACUAGGCAAAUUAACCCCGUAAGUUCGCGAUAAGGGGGCCCUCGCCGCAAGGCAGGGCGCAGAGAAGAGGCUCUGGGAACUGUUUAUCAAAAACACAGCACUGUGCCAAGACGCAAGUCGACGUAUACAGUGUGACGCUUGCCCGAUGCCGGAAUGUCAAGGGAGCGGUUCAGCGAAAGCGAAGAUUGCGACCGAAGCACCGGCGAAUGGCGGCCGUAACUAUGACGGUCCUAAGGUAGCGAAAUUCCUUGUCGGGUAAGUUCCGACGCGCAUGAAUAGCGUAAUAACUGGAGCACUGUCUCCACGACCGACUCGGUGAAAUAGUAGUGGCGGUGAAGAUACCGCCUUCCCGCAGCAAGACGGAAAGACCCCGUGGACCUUCACUAUAGGCUCGUAUUGGCCACGAGCAUAUUCUGCGUAGCAUAGGUGGGAGGCUUUGACGACCGGGUUCCGGCCCGGUAAGAGCCAUCGGUGAAAUACCACCCUGAGUAAGUUUGUGGCCUAACCUCGAUUCCCGUGAAUCCGGGCGAGGGACAGUGCGUGUCGGGUAGUUUGACUGGGGCGGUCUCCUCCAAAAGAGUAACGGAGGAGCGCAAAGGUCGGCUCAGCACGGAUGGAAACCGUGUGUCGAGUGCAAGAGCACAAGCCGGCUUUACUGCGAGUCCGACAGGACGAGCAGUCACGAAAGUGGGCUCUAGUGAUCCUGCGGUCCCGAGUGGAAGGGCCGUAGCUCAACGGAUAAAAGGUACCCCGGGGAUAACAGGCUGAUCGCGCCCGAGCGUCCAUAGCGGCGGCGCGGUUUGGCACCUCGAUGUCGGCCCAUCACAUCCUGGGGCUGAAGGCGGUCCCAAGGGUUCGGCUGUUCGCCGAUUAAAGUGGUACGCGAGCUGGGUUCAGACCGGCGUGAGCCAGGUCGGUCCCUAUCUGUUGUGGGCGUCGCAUACUUGAGUGGAGUCAACCUUAGUACGAGAGGAUUGGGUUGGACGUACCCCUGGUGAUCCAGUUGGCCUGCCAAGGCCACAGCUGGGUAGCUACGUACGGCAGGGAUAACCGCUGAAAGCAUCUAAGCGGGAAGCCCCCCACAAGAUGAGGUAUGCUUGUCGAAAGACGUGAGACCCCUGGAAGACCACCAGGUUGAUAGGCCGCGCGUGCACGGUACGAAAGUGCCUCAGCGGAGCGGUCCUAACGGUCAAAUCUUGGUC
rnacentral:rRNA from 1 species